AGGUGAGUUCUGGGCCAGCCCAGCCUGGAGGAGGUGUGAGAGGCUGAGCCACUGCUCAGCUUAGCGGGGGGACCACUUAGUGACCAACACCCUGAGGGAGGCCCCAGCAUCCCCUACCUAGCCUGGCAGCAGCAGCGGGAUAAAUAGGGGGGCACUGCUGCCUGUGAGCCAGCCCAGCAUAGCCAUGGGUGUGUGGGGGAAGCAGACAGAGACAGGGUCUUGCUCCGCUGUCCAGGCUGGAAUGCUUCGGUGUGAUGACAGCGCACGUUAACCUCGAAUUCCUGGGCUCAGGUGAUCCUCCCACUUCCGCCUCCUGACUUGCUGAAACUACAGGCACCCGCCUCCACCGCCAGGCCCAGCCCACAGCUCCUUUGACCUCAGUGACAGGCACUCACCUACCUGACCCCCAAACUGAAGCCUCACUUUUCCCAGCCGUGUCCACACCCUCUGGGCUACCCCAUUACCAUGACAAGUAUUCCCUCUGCUCCAGGAGAAAAGCCAGGUCCCAGACCUGACCCAUUAAAACCCAAUCAUUCCA
ensembl:lncRNA LMNTD2-AS1 LMNTD2 antisense RNA 1